CGAGUUGGCCGGGCGGCCGCGGCGGGUGGGAAACCAUCGGUCGAGGAAAGUCCGGGCUCCACAGGGCAAGGUGGUGGGUAACGCCCACCCGGGGUGACCCGCGGGACAGUGCCACAGAAAACAGACCGCCGUC
rnacentral:RNase_P_RNA from 1 species